AUCCAGCUGAUGAGUCCUAAAUAGGACGAAACGCGCGUCCUGGAU
rfam:Schistosoma haematobium scaffold529_6, whole genome shotgun sequence.